rnacentral:sRNA from 1 species
GUUGUGUCGAUCGACACCUACGUCAAUUUUCGUCUCCGGAUUGCUGCCGCAACUUAAGUUGUCUGUUUUGCUCCAGAAUGCUCCAUAAUCUUCAAAUGCAUCCCAAACAUGUAAAGACCUGAAAAAGACUAGAAAAGACUCUACAAAUAACAAAAUGACUCUAAAAACUAUACCUAAAUCAUAGCUAAAAGCAGAGAAAAUCGAGGUAUAUCAGUUAUCUUCAAGGUACUAUU